rnacentral:rRNA from 1 species
UACGUAGGGUGCGAGCGUUGUCCGGAAUUAUUGGGCGUAAAGAGCUCGUAGGCGGUGUGUCGCGUCGGCCGUGAAAACCUGCAGCUUAACUGUGGGCUUGCGGUCGAUACGGGCAUCACUGGAGUUCGGCAGGGGAGACUGGAAUUCCUGGUGUAGCGGUGAAAUGCGCAGAUAUCAGGAGGAACACCGGUGGCGAAGGCGGGUCUCUGGGCCGUAACUG